rnacentral:tRNA from 1 species
UUUCCCACGCAGGGAAUCGAACCCGGACCUUCUGGGUGAAAGCCAGAUAUCCUAGCCAUUAGAUCUGGGGU